rnacentral:tmRNA from 1 species
UUAGUCGACACCUAGUUCCGACUCGUCCAUAUUUUGCAGGCUUUUUCGAUGUCGACUAACGUUCUGGAUGAUCGUAUAUGGUUCGGUACCCGGCGCCUCCACCAAAAACCGGCGGUCUUAAAGGCCGGCUUUUGAUGGGGGCGAAACAGGAUCGACAAGGGUGUAAAGAUCGUCUUUUUGCUCGGCAUUGUACCGCCGUUAUCGGGCUAAAAUUGUAGUUGCAAACGACAACUAUGCGGAAGCUCGUCUCGCUGCUUAAUCGCGGUGUGACACUUCAAUCAAAGUCCUAGUGGUUCGCACCUCUAGGCGGGGUCCGAAGGCACCUGGCAACAGAAGCCUUCACC